rnacentral:sRNA from 1 species
AGAUGUGGAGAACUGUGCUGUACGGGGAAAGCUGACGGACGAGUGCUACAACUAUAUUCGUGUUCUUGUUCCCUGGGACUCCCAGACGCUCCUUGCCUGUGGAACGAACUCAUUCAGCCCUGUGUGCCGCAGCUAUGGGAGGGCAGCCUGUACUCAGCCACAGCUGCGGAUUUCCAGGCCAGUGAUGCUGUAGUUUACAGAAGCCUUGGGCCCCAGCCCCCACUCCGCUCGGCCAAAGCCACACUUUGUCCAUGCCUUGGAGCAUGGAGACCACGUCUACUUCUUCUUCCGCGAGGUCUCUGUGGAGGAUGCUCGGCUGGGAAG